rnacentral:rRNA from 1 species
CGGAGGGAGCUAGCGUUGUUCGGAAUUACUGGGCGUAAAGCGCGCGUAGGCGGCUUUGUAAGUUAGAGGUGAAAGCCCGGGGCUCAACCCCGGAAUUGCCUUUAAGACUGCAUCGCUAGAAUCCAGGAGAGGUGAGUGGAAUUCCGAGUGUAGAGGUGAAAUUCGUAGAUAUUCGGAAGAACACCAGUGGCGAAGGCGGCUCACUGGACUGGUAUUGACGCUGAGGUGCGAAAGCGUGGGGAGCAAACAGGAUUAGAUACCCCUGGUAGUCCACGCCGUAAACGAUGAUAACUAGCUGACAGGGCCCUUAGGGUUUUGGUGGCGCAGCUAACGCAUUAAGUUAUCCGCCUGGGGAGUACGGCCGCAAGGUUA